rnacentral:hammerhead_ribozyme from 1 species
AUCCAGUUGGCGAGUCUAAAAUAGGACGAAACGCGCGUUCUAUAU